CCCAAAGCAUUGUGGGUAAAACAUGGGGUGACUUGCAUAAGUUUCCCGGGCCGUGUCGUGGAUGGGUCGCCGUGAUGCAGCGGCUCGGCGGCCUCGCUGCGCGCCGGGAGCUCGGCGGAUUCGCUGCCGGACUGCGCGCCUGGAGGAGCGGCUUCAGCUGCGGAGAGCGGCCGAGCGCGAGCGUCCGCGCGCGCGCCUUCGUGAGACCCGGCGCGCGGAGCCGCGCGCUCCUCCGGGACAAUCACAGAGCGUUCUGCUCGCGGGCCGGAACCGAGGGGCCCCCGCGGGACCCCGGCCGGCAGCCCCCCGUGUCCGUGGUCGGGAUCCCGGACCCGCUGACCUGGAUCCGGUGUAAAGUCCUCACGGCGCUGAUAGACCUCUACUUCGACUCGAACAUCAACUCCGAGGAGUUUGACAGGGGCGUAAAGCAGGCUUUGGUCCACGUCUCCAACAAGAUGUCCAGAGGACGGUAUCACGAGCUGAAGGGGCUGGUGUCCUUCGAGAUGGUGGAGUACGUGGAGAAGAGGUGCGGUUCUCUCACCGACGCUCAGAGGAAGCAGCUCUCCGUCAACAUGGAUGACAUCAUAUUUGUGCUUCCAGAAGACGUCUCUGUGGUCUUUGACCAGUUCGGUGAGCCGUCACGGUGGAUUUACGCCGAUUUAAAGAAGAAAAUUCUGCUCUGUGGUCAUGAGGUUUUGGCUUCUGUCGUCACAUGAAGGUCCUGAAGACCCGGAAGGUUCUAAAAUCUUCAAAGUGGCUCCAAGUGAAGAAGCUGAAGGUCCACAGAGGAAAAUAGCAACUGCAGUAUAUGAAUUCCACAGAGAGUUGACCAGUGGAGCUCCUCCAGACUGGACCAUCACCACGGUCUGGCACUGGAGCUGGGGCCCGGCCAAGUGAUCCAGCAGAAGCUGCUGCUUCUACGGAGGCUAGAGAAAUGGACUCUAUGAACCACAUGAGACCGGACCUGUUCGGACCUUCCUGAAGUCUUUUUCGGUGCCUUCAACGUUGUGUUUCAUGUCUAAUGUUGGCUCCUCAGAGAACGUCUGAAUGAAAGCUCUUCACUGCGGGUUCUGUUCCUUCACUGUUCUGUUACAUCCAGACUGUAGUAACUCCUUUAGGACUUCCAGCUGUGAUGAAACAGAAUCCAAACUGCAAACAUUUUCAUUUCAGGUUCAUUUUCACAGAAAGGUCACAAUAAAAAUUCUGGAUUGAA